UCCUCGGUGGCGCAAUUGGCUAGCGCGUCUGACUGUUACUAUCUUAUCUGAUAGUCAUCAGGAGGUUGAAAGUUCGAGCCUUUCCCGGGGAG